CCCUUAGAUGUUCUGGGCCGCACGCGUGUUACACUGAGUGGAUCAGCGGGUCAGGUUGCGCGAAAGUGUUUCCUAAUCUUGAAAUCCGCUCGUGAUGGGGAUUGACGGUUGCAAUUUUCCGUCAUGAACGAGGAAUACCUUGUAAGCGCGGGUCAUCAUCCCGCGCUGAAUACGUCCCUGCCCUUUGUACACACCGCCCGUCGCUCCUACCGAUUGAGUGGUCCGGUGAGGCUUUGGGAUCUGAGCGGAAAGAGCGUUUCGCUGUUUCUGCUCGGAAAACUCAGUCGAACCUUAUCAUUUAGAGGAAGGAGAAGUCGUAACA
rnacentral:rRNA from 1 species